GAACCGUGCAAACGUUGUUCGGAAUCACUGGGCUUAAAGGGCGCGUAGGCGGGGGACCAAGUCCGGGGUGAAAUCUUUCGGCUCAACCGGAAAACUGCCUUGGAUACUGGUCUUCUUGAGGGAGGUAGGGGCAGGUGGAACUUCCGGUGGAGCGGUGAAAUGCGUUGAUAUCGGAAGGAACGCCGGUGGCGAAAGCGGCCUGCUGGAUCUCUUCUGACGCUGAUGCGCGAAAGCUAGGGUAGCGAACGGGAUUAGAUACCCCGGUAGUCCUAGCCCUAAACGAUGGGUACUAGGUUGCGGACUUGACAUGGGUUCGCAGCCGAAGCAAAAGUGUUAAGUACCCCGCCUGGGGAGUAUGGUCGCAAGGCUGAA
rnacentral:rRNA from 1 species